rnacentral:rRNA from 1 species
AGAGGGUGCGAGCGUUAAUCGGAAUGACUGGGCGUAAAGGGCGCGUAGGUGGUUAUAUAAGAGAGAUGUAAAAGUCCUGGGCUCAACCUGGGAAUGCCAUCUGAGACUGUAUAACUAGAGAGCAGUAGAGGUAAGAGGAAUUUCCGGUGUAGCGGUGAAAUGCGUAGAGAUCGGAAGGAACACCAGAGGCGAAGGCGACUUACUGGACUGCAUCUGACACUGAGGCGCGAAAGCGUGGGGGUAGCGAACAGGAUUAGAUACCCUGGUAGUCCACGCCGUAAACGAUGAGAACUAGCCGUUGGUUUCGUAAAGGAAUCAGUGGCGCAGCUAACGCACUAAGUUCUCCGCCUGGGAGUACGGCCGCAAGGUUA